UACGUAGGGGGCGAGCGUUGUCCGGAAUUACUGGGCGUAAAGCGCACGUAGGCGGAUCGAUCAGUCAGGGGUGAAAUCCCAGGGCUCAACCCUGGAACUGCCUUUGAUACUGUCGAUCUGGAGUAUGGAAGAGGUGAGUGGAAUUCCGAGUGUAGAGGUGAAAUUCGUAGAUAUUCGGAGGAACACCAGUGGCGAAGGCGGCUCACUGGUCCAUUACUGACGCUGAGGUGCGAAAGCGUGGGGAGCAAACAGG
rnacentral:rRNA from 1 species